rnacentral:sRNA from 1 species
AUAUUUGUUAUGAUAACAUCUCUGUCAACAUGCGCCCAUCAUCUCUUGAUGAUCAAUUCUUUCCCUCUGAUGAAAAAAAACCUGUAUAGUAUCCUGAUAAAAAUAUCAAGUUUGUAAUGGGAUUUAGUGAAAAUUUUGCAAUUUGCACUGUUUUCCAAAUAAAAGAUGAAAGACGUGCUCUCUAAGUGGAUAAAUUUACUGAGAUGUGACCCAACAACAAGAUCUUUGUGACAAUUCGUGUUAGCUUUCAGUAUCUGAUUCCCAAGAGAUCAACACUACUGCAAUAUUCAUAUAGUCUUUGCCUGAAGUUUCUAUACUGAAGCAUUUAUCACUGAAUAAAUGU